AAAAGAUUAAAUUUAUGGCUGGGGCUACUAUACUCUUAUGAGUAUAGAACUUUUUAUACUCAUAAAUUUUUAACCGUUGAUUGAUGGGAUCUGUGGUUAGGAUGAUGGCUGUUCCCACUUAGAAUGAUAGUCUUCCUCUAGGGUUGAGUGGGUAGUUAGUUGAAUAGUAUGAUCUAACGGAUGAAAAUGAUCAUGGAAUAAAUCUAAGGGCCAGAAAUUUAUGAGUAUAAAAAAGUCAAUACUCAUAAAAGUACAGUAGCCGGACUCUAAAUUUAUUAUCACUAUUAUUAUUAUUAUUAUUAUUAUUAU
rnacentral:lncRNA from 1 species